CGUCUAUAUACGUAUAGCAUAUCCAAUAAGCGGAGGAAAAGAAACUAACAAGGAUUCCCUUAGUAACGGCGAGUGAAGCGGGAAGAGCUCAAAUUUGAAAUCUUCAAGGUUCUACCUUGACGAAUUGUAGUUUAUAGAAGUGUUUUCUGUUAGUGGAGUGGCAAAAGUUCUUUGGAAUAGGACAUCAUAGAGGGUGAGAAUCCCGUAUUUGGUCAUUCCUCCUAGCGUUGUGAUACACUUUCAACGAGUCGGAUUGUUUGGGAAUGCAGUCCAAAAUGGGUGGUAAAUUUCAUCUAAAGCUAAAUAUUGGCGAGAGACCGAUAGCGAACAAGUACCGUGAGGGAAAGAUGAAAAGAACUUUGUAAAGAGAGUUAAACAGUACGUGAAAUUGUCAAAAGGGAAGCGUUUGACACCAGUGUUGUUUUUCCGAAAAUCAAUUACGAAUGUUUUGUUUUUGAGGAGUUAUGACUUCAUCGACUUGCUCCUUUCUUUACGAAACUUUCUUAAUGCACUUUUCGGUUAACAAGUCAACAUCAAUUUCUUUUGUUGUAAAAGGGUAUGAGGAAGGUGGCUUUCUUUUCGGAGAAAGUGUUUAUAGCCUUGUGCCUCUACAAUCGGAGAGAUUGAGGUCUGCAGCGUAGAUCCUUCGGGGUUAGAUACAGUUUGUGCUAAGUUAUAGCUUUUCAUAGACAACUUGUCGACUAUGUUUAGUCUUGUAGCUUACUCGCUUAUGCUAUUUUACCUACGCUUAGGAUGUUGACUGAUAUGUAGUCGUA
rnacentral:rRNA from 1 species